GCAUGUUCUCCCCAGCACCCUGCCUGGUGAGGUCAGCCCUGCUAGCUAUGAGUCUGUCACUUUUCCUGCCCACCCUGAAGGUGUAGCAGCCACUGAAUGGAUAGAAUGGUACCCACAUCCCAGGGCUGAGCCCGAAGGGGCUUGUACAAUGUGCGUGUAGGGAGUUUUCAGGAUGAAAGAGAGGCGGAUUGGAGGGCUCUGCCAAGGUGGUGGGAAGGCCAGGAUCUGGAGGCACCAACCACACGGGUCAGAGAGAUGGGAGGCCUGGAGGGCCUCUGGGGGCCAGGCCGCAGAGGGAUGUGUCGGGGAGCGCUGCAGCAUGCACUGGCCUGCCAGGGCGUGUGGGAGGGGGCUUCUGAGACCCAGCAGCCCCCUCCUGGGGCACUGGGUCCCCACCUAGGUGCAGUGGCCCUCGCCAAAAGCACGUGCUGCCAAGCCUCCAUUAGUCACCCUGGCACUGACAUCCAUAAAUCCCAUUAGUCACACUCUACACAAGCUCGAAGCCGAACACACCCUGUCACACCCAGACAAAGACCAGGGCCCCCGAAGGGGCCCAGAGUGUCCGGGGCUGGGUCCCCAGGGACUAGCACCGUGUGGCUCUGGAGGCCCUCAUCGGUCAGCCUUUCCGAAGCAGCCCCCAGCAUCACAAACCUCCUUACAACCGCGCACUGAGGUCCCCAAAUAACCAGGGCUUCCCAAACCUUGCUCCAAACCUCGCCCAUCCCCUCUGGGCACGCACACCCUAAUAAACACCCACAAAUGUCCUUGGCACACCUCUCUUCUUGGGGGGGUGGGGGGGAACGGGCUGACAUUGGCCCCCUCCCCCACGCCUGUCCUCUGCUGGGUCUGGCAGGCAGGAAGUAUUCCCCAAGGUCACCAGAGCUCUUCAGUUGGCUCGGCCCGGGAGCUGAUUUAUUGGCGGUUUAUUUGGAGAAACGCUAUCGCUCUCAGAUUCCGGGGGAAAAAGCGCUGGCGGUGGACUUUAACCUUGGGCUGAGACCACAGCGCUUUGUUUUCCGAGCCGCUUCCUGGGCUGGGGCCUCGCUGGGGCGGUUCGCCGGAAUGUGGCUGGGCAGCCUCUGCGCUCCCGGGCGUCGCUGGGGCCAGCGCGCAAAUUCCUGCGCGCCUGGCUGCCGGAAGCCCUCGGUCCCUCCAACUGUGCUUUUGGAAAUUUGAGGGAGCUGGAGCUCCUUGAGUGAGAGCGACCUCGGGGCCCAGUUUCAAAAGCCCCUGCACCCGGCCUCCUCUGUCACCCGCUCGGAAUUGUGUCACUGGCACCAUGUGAGGUUUUGGGGAGGCACCCAAGAAGGUGCAUUGUCAACCCCUCCGCAACUGUCCCCACCCAGCGUCCCACGGCCCCUUUCGUGGUGGUUAGUCCCCACUGAGUACCUCCACUUGCUUGGCUGAAGCAGGGACCAGCAGAGAGGUCUGCGGGCCCCUCUGUCAAAGAAGACAGACAAUGCCCAUAACAUUAGUCGUUACUACUGCAGAUCUUCCCAACAACUUCCUCCCGACUGUUAGGGUGGAAAAACCAGCGCCCCGCCUAGCCUUCGACCUGCAAGCGACAGAUUCCUGUUUUCCCAAUGGUUUGGUUAUUUGUGCCAAGAGGGUAGGGCGUCAAACAAGGGUCGCCAAGCUGGGGAACCCGUGGCGAGCGAAGAGGGAUCCAAGGGCGCGGGACUAAGGCAGGGUCCGUUGAGGUGACCAGCUGAGAAGCCACUGUUCCUGACCUAGGCGUCGCCCCUCGGUGGCUCGGAUAGCUGCGCACCCAUUCAAACCUCAGCAGGCCUUCACCUGGCCCCCGCACGCCCCUACCCAGGGCGGUGAUCCGUGAGGCCCAGGCCGCCUCGGGGUCCGGCACUCGAGGGGAUGGCUGGUGGUGGCACCGAAUGGGCGAGGCGACUCCCUCUUUUUGGCGAACGGGGAAGCUCCUGACAGUGAUUUCCAGCGUAGUGACCGGGAGAGCAGGGUACCUGGCGGCCGGGGACGAGUGGCCAGGCUGGAACACCCGCCAGUGAGCAGCGGAAGGAGGGCUGGUGAGGGAGAUUUAUGGCCGUGGCCGGCCCCCAGCGCACUGAGCGCUUCUCCGUCCUCUUCGAGCCAAACAGUGGAGUGGAAGACCCGACCCGGGCCGGAGGAAGAGGCCAGGGUCGUAGGCGGGGCCGAGAGGAGUCGGAGGAAUCCUUCGAGGCCCGGCCUGGCGCAACGGCCCGGGCUCUCCUAGCCGUGCACCAGGGUUCUGGUGGCGAGCGGGGCGCUGGCACCGCGUCUCUGGCCUUCCUGGUGAGUCCUCAUGGCUCUCGACUGGGCUGGCUGAGCCGCACCUGGUCCAGUUGCAGCGAGGAUGGCUGUGCCGGGCGCGGCCUCUCCGGGUUUUAGCGGCGCCCGGGCAGGGAGCUCCCUGGUUGUUCGACCCUGCGGAAACUCUUGCCUAGAACUGCCCACGGCCUUUGGAGCUCGCCAUCCUCGGCAUCCCCUUCACUACCUUAGACGCUGGUGUAGUUCGGGGGCUCCGAUCGGAGAAAGGCGGUUCGGGGCAACCGAUGGGGUGACUUGGACUUCCAUGCCUUGGAAAGAAUGCUAGCUGUCCCCUUACCCUUGCUGAGAAAACGGGGAAGAUGUAUCCACGCGGCCAGCAACACCAAGGUUCUGGAAGAACCAGGUUCGACCGUGCCGUGGGGAGAACUGAGGCCGACUUGUGCUCCAGGAAUCGGAGGACCAGCCAACAUUCGCAGGCCUCAGCGCCGACAAAGGCGCGGCAGGGGACACAGCCGGGCUCAAGGUUGGCCUGUCCUUUGGCUUUAUAAUGAAGGGGGAGAAUUUUGUCGGCUGGAACGCGUCUUGAGAGCGGAUGCCUGGGGACACAUACAAAGAUCCCAGCUCAGGCUACUCCGGCUGGCCUCGGACAAGCGCACUGGGCCAGCCGAGCUGGCCAGGGUGGGUUCUCCGGGAAUUGCGGCUUGAGACUGCGUGGAGGUCCCCCACCCCCGGCUGAUUUUCCGCCCAGUCAGUACAAAACACACACCCACACACCCACUGCGUCAACACGGUUUUUGGCCACGGAUCCCGCCGGGUAAACAAGCUCGAGGGGGGUGGGGCGCGGAAGAUGGCGGCGGGGCUGUGCGGUGGUUCCCGCUCCGCACCGGGCAGGCAGCUGGGUUUUCUCGGUUCGGUGUGGCAGGCCAGGGCGCAGACCGCGUUCUCCCAGACCCCAAGGCCUGGCUAGGGGUGCCCAGAGGCCCCCCCCCCGUCAUGGCAGGGUUUUUUUCAAGGGGCUUUAGCUGCAGCCUCCUCUUGGGAUCCGUCCCACGCCCCAAGAUGGCUCCCGGCCUGUUUUCUCGGCCACUGCGGGGCGGCAGGGCGUGCGGCCCGCGAGGGGGACACCAGGCCGGGUCCGAGCAGCUACGCGGAGGGCCUCUCCUGCGCCCCACGGGAGCAGCACGAGCUGGCUCUGUCCGUGUCGCCGCGUCUCCAGGCCCCGCGCCGGGUGGUGGCUGGGGGGCCGCGUGGCAGCUCACGGGUGCGGGCUGUGCAGAGCG
rnacentral:lncRNA from 1 species